GGUCUUGUAGUACAAUGGAUAGUAUAUGAGUUUCCGAAGCUCCGGAUCCAGGUUCGAUUCCUGGCAAGACCACCA
rnacentral:tRNA from 1 species